CCUGACUGCUAUCGGAUUGAUACUAAGCCAUGCGAGUCAUUGUAGCAAUACAAGGCAGACGGCUCAGUAACACGUAGUCAAUCUACCCUAUUGACGGGGAUAACCUCGGGAAACUGAGAAUAAUACCCGAUAGGCCAUUAUGCCUGGAAUGGUUUAUGGCUGAAAUGACUUAUCGCAAUAGGAUGGGACUGCGGCCUAUCAGUUUGUUGGUGAGGUAAUGGCCCACCAAGACUAUUACAGGUACGGGCUCUGAGAGGAGAAGCCCGGAGAUGGGUACUGAGACACGGACCCAGGCCCUAUGGGGCGCAGCAGGCGAGAAAACUUUGCAAUGUGCGAAAGCACGACAAGGUUAAUCCGAGUGUUUCCUGCUAAAGGAAUCUUUUGUCAGUCCUAAAAACACUGAUGAAUAAGGGGUGGGCGAGUUCUGGUGUCAGCCGCCGCGGUAAAACCAGCACCUCAAGUGGUCAGGAGGAUUAUUGGGCCUAAAGCAUCCGUAGCCGGCCGCACAAGUCUUCGGUUAAAUUCAUAUGCUCAACAUAUGGGCUGCCGGAGAUACUGUGCAGCUAGGGAGUGGGAGAGGUGGACGGUACUCGAUAGGAAGGGGUAAAAUCCUUUGAUCUAUUGAUGACCACCUGUGGCGAAGGCGGUCCACUAGAACACGUCCGACGGUGAGGGAUGAAAGCUGGGGGAGCAAACCGGAUUAGAUACCCGGGUAGUCCCAGCUGUAAACAAUGCAAACUCAGUGAUGCAUUGGCUUGUGGCCAGUGCAGUGCCGCAGGGAAGCCGUUAAGUUUGCCGCCUGGGAAGUACGUACGCAAGUAUGAAACUUAAAGGAAUUGGCGGGGGAGCACCACCAAGGGGUGAAGCCUGCGGUUC
rnacentral:rRNA from 1 species